AUGCUAACUUGUACCUGAACUUGGUCUAGUAGGGGAAAACCAUCUUAUACACCUUUUGAGAUUACCACAAGCUUACAUCUGUUGAGUUUGAUCAAGUGGUGAAGGACAAUGCUUAUGAGGAUGUACAACCUGAAGACAAAAGGAACUAUCAAAGAUUGAUAGGCAGACUUCUGUACUUGACUAUGACAAGGCGAUAUAUAACUUUUGU
rnacentral:lncRNA from 1 species